UCAUAUGCUUGUCUCAAAGAUUAAGCCAUGCAUGUGUAAGCACACACUGUUUUAAAAGUGAAGCCGCGAAUGGCUCAUUACAACAGCCACAGUUUAUUAGAACUUACAUACAUGGAUAACUGUGGUAAUUCUAGAGCUAAUACACGCACAAAAACUUCAACUAUACAAUGGUUGAAGUGCUUUUAUUAGAACAAAAACCGAACGGCGUUCGACUUGUGUUGAACGUCGAAACUCUUUGGUGAAUCUGAAUAACUAUUUCUGAUCGCAUGGUCUAGCACCGGCGACAUCACUUUCAAGUGUCUGCCUUAUCAACCUUCGAUGGUAGUCUAUGCGACUACCAUGGUGAUAACGGGUAACGGAGAAUCAGGGUUCGACUCCGGAGAGGGAGCCUGAGAAACGGCUACCACAUCCAAGGAAGGCAGCAGGCGCGCAAAUUACCCACUCCCAGCUUGGGGAGGUAGUGACGAAAAAUAACGAGACGAUUCUCGUUUGAGAAACGUUAUCGAAAUGAGUACGCUUUACACACGCUAACGAGUAGCAAUUGGAGGGCAAGUCUGGUGCCAGCAGCCGCGGUAAUUCCAGCUCCAAUAGCGUAUAUUAAAGUUGCUGCGGUUAAAACGCUCGUAGUUGAAUUGUGGUCUUAGACAACAGUCCCCCUAUAUAGGUGUGGCACGGUUGCUCGAGAUCUUCAUUCGUGGUUGCUGUUGUUGCUCUUCAUUGAGUGUCAAUGGUGCCUCGAGAUUUUACUUUGAAAAAAUUAGAGUGCUCAAAGCAGGUUGUGAUGCCUGAAUAAUGGUGCAUGGAAUAAUAGAAUACGAUCUCGGUUCUAUUUUGUUGGUUUUCGAACCGGAGAUAAUGAUUGAAAGGAACAGACGGGGGCAUUCGUAUUGCUGCGUUAGAGGUGAAAUUCUUGGAUCGCAGCAAGAUGAACAAUUGCGAAAGCAUUUGCCAAGAAUGUUUUCAUUAAUCAAGAACGAAAGUUAGAGGUUCGAAGGCGAUCAGAUACCGCCCUAGUUCUAACGGUAAACUAUGCCAACCAGCGAUUCGCCGAAGUUCAUUUAAGACUCGGCGAGCAGCUUCCGGGAAACCAAAGUGUUUCGGUUCCGGGGGAAGUAUGGUUGCAAAGCUGAAACUUAAAGGAAUUGACGGAAGGGCACCACCAGGAGUGGAGCCUGCGGCUUAAUUUGACCCAACACGGGAAAACUCACCCGGCCCGGACACUGAAAGGAUUGACAGAUUGACAGCUCUUUCUUGAUUCAGUGGGUAGUGGUGCAUGGCCGUUCUUAGUUGGUGGAGUGGAGUGAUUUGUCUGCUUAAUUGCGAUAACGAACGAGACCUUAACCUACUAAAUAGUGCUGCUAGCUUUUGCUGGUAUAGUCACUUCUUAGAGGGACUAUCGAUUUCAAGUCGAUGGAAGUUUGAGGCAAUAACAGGUCUGUGAUGCCCUUAGACGUUCUGGGCCGCACGCGCGCUACACUGACGGAGCCAACGAGUAUUAACCUUGGCCGAGAGGUCUGGGAAAUCUUGUGAAACUCCGUCGUGCUGGGGAUAGAGCAUUGUAAUUAUUGCUCUUCAACGAGGAAUUCCUAGUAAGCGCAAGUCAUCAGCUUGCGUUGAUUACGUCCCUGCCCUUUGUACACACCGCCCGUCGCUACUACCGAUUGGAUGAUUUAGUGAGGUGUUUUGACUAGCGCCUGUAGUCGGAUGUAUAUUCGGCUUCGCGCCGGGAAAUUUCCCAAACCAAAUCAUCUAGAGGAAGUAAAAGUCGUAACAAGGUUUCCGUAGGUGAACCUGCGGAAG
rnacentral:rRNA from 1 species